rnacentral:rRNA from 1 species
AGAUUGAACGCUGGCGGCAGGCCUAACACAUGCAAGUCGAGCGGUAGAGAGGUGCUUGCAUCUCUUGAGAGCGGCGGACGGGUGAGUAAUGCCUAGGAAUCUGCCUAGUGGUGGGGGAUAACGUUCGGAAACGGACGCUAAUACCGCAUACGUCCUACGGGAGAAAGCGGGGGACCUUCGGGCCUCGCGCCAUUAGAUGAGCCUAGGUCGGAUUAGCUAGUUGGUGAGGUAAUGGCUCACCAAGGCGACGAUCCGUAACUGGUCUGAGAGGAUGAUCAGUCACACUGGAACUGAGACACGGUCCAGACUCCUACGGGAGGCAGCAGUGGGGAAUAUUGGACAAUGGGCGAAAGCCUGAUCCAGCCAUGCCGCGUGUGUGAAGAAGGUCUUCGGAUUGUAAAGCACUUUAAGUGGAGAAGGCAGUUACCUAAUACGUAUCUGUUUGACGUUACGACAGAAUAAGCACCGGCUAACUCUGUGCCAGCACG